rnacentral:tRNA from 1 species
GCGCCUGUAGCUCAAGUGGAUAGAGCAACGGACUUCUAAUCCGUAGGUUGCAGGUUCGAGUCCUGCCAGGCGCG